CCUACGGGCGGCUGCAGUGGGGAAUAUUGCACAAUGGGCGCAAGCCUGAUGCAGCCAUGCCGCGUGUGUGAAGAAGGCCUUCGGGUUGUAAAGCACUUUCAGCGGGGAGGAAGGCGGUGAGGUUAAUAACCUCAUCGAUUGACGUUACCCGCAGAAGAAGCACCGGCUAACUCCGUGCCAGCAGCCGCGGUAAUACGGAGGGUGCAAGCGUUAAUCGGAAUUACUGGCGUAAAGCGCACGCAGGCGGUCUGUCAAGUCGGAUGUGAAAUCCCCGGGCUCAACCUGGGAACUGCAUUCGAAACUGGCAGGCUAGAGUCUUGUAGAGGGGGGUAGAAUUCCAGGUGUAGCGGUGAAAUGCGUAGAGAUCUGGAGGAAUACCGGUGGCGAAGGCGGCCCCCUGGACAAAGACUGACGCUCAGGUGCGAAAGCGUGGGGAGCAAACAGGAUUAGAUACCCCAGUAGUC
rnacentral:rRNA from 1 species